rnacentral:rRNA from 1 species
AGAGUUUGAUCAUGGCUCAGAACGAACGCUGGCGGCGUGCCUAACACAUGCAAGUCGAACGAGAAAGCGGGCUUCGGUCCGUUAGUAGAGUGGCAGACGGGUGAGUAACACGUGGGUAACCUGUCCGGAGGCGGGGGAUAACCCUUCGAAAGGAGGGCUAAUACCGCAUAAUACUCGCCGGGUUUCGGCCUGGCGAAUCAAAACUUGCCUCUACAUGUAAGCAAGUACCACCGGAGGGGCCCGCGGCCCAUUAGCUUGUUGGCGAGGUAACGGCUCACCAAGGCGACGAUGGGUAGCCGGCCUGAGAGGGCGAUCGGCCACACUGGAACUGAGACACGGUCCAGACUCCUACGGGAGGCAGCAGUGAGGAAUCUUGCGCAAUGGGGGAAACCCUGACGCAGCGACGCCGCGUGGAGGACGAAGGCCUUCGGGUC